AGGAUGAACGCUAGCGGCAGGCUUAACACAUGCAAGUCGAGGGGCAGCGGGGUAGCAAUACCGCCGGCGACCGGCAAACGGGUGCGGAACACGUACGCAACAUACCCUUGUCUGGGGCAUAGCCCGAAGAAAUUCGGAUUAACACCCCAUAAGAUAAUAGAGUGGCAUCACUUAAGUUAAUUAAAAAAUUUAUUGGACAGGGAUUGGCGUGCGUCCUAUUAGCUAGUUGGUAUGGGUAACGGCCUACCAAGGCGACGAUAGGUAGCUGGUGUGAGAGCACGACCAGCCACACGGGCACUGAGACACGGGCCCGACUCCUACGGGAGGCAGCAGUGAGGAAUAUUGGUCAAUGGACGCAAGUCUAGAACCAGCCAUGCCGCGUGAAGGAUGAAGGCGUUCUGCGUUGUAAAACUUUCUUUUAACCGAAGGGAAAGAAAACCUGUAAUUUUUACUAAAAUUCAAGCCGACGGUACCUGAAGGAAAUAAGACAACCGGUACUAAACCUCCGUGCCAGACAGCCGAC
rnacentral:rRNA from 1 species